AAAAAAAAAGGUGACAAUACUUUUGCUUAAAAUUAAAUGAUUCUGCUGUGUAAAUGGAAACCACUCUCUGUAUGUUAAUUUAACAAUAAGAAGAAUGUGGAAGUCUUUCCAUGUUAAAAUAUGUAAAUAUCAUCACUUUCAAUGACUGACUGUAUUCCAUAUGUACCCUGAUGUUUUUUUUAAGAGCUCAUCACUACAUGAAGGACAUUCAGAUGGAUCCCCUAAUGUGAACAUGUAUUAAAACGUGGCUAAUAAUCCUGACAUUUUUAUCACUCUUAUGAAUACAGGCCAAGGAGGGGGCACGGCUUGUAGGUUGAACCAUGGUGCCGCUCACCCAACAGCCUUCCGAAACCUGAGCUUCAGCUCUGCAUGGAAUCCAGCGCUGGUGGAGGUGGAGGAGAACCCUUGCCUAUGCGCCCACCUGUCUUCAACUCAGGCUGGUCCAAGUGCAGGUUUCCCAAGCCAUCACUGCAGAGGCUCACUGCUGUUUAUCCAUGGACGACUUCCUACACCCGAUUCAAGAGCUGGAAUUGCUGUAGAGUGCCUUCCUACACCAGGUUCAAGAGCUGGGGUUGCUAAAAGAGGGACUUCCAGAGUGGGGACUCAUCCUGAUCCUAUGAGAGCCUCCAUGGUCACCAAGUUCGGCAUCCACUGAGAGAUGGACAGUUAAGAAGGUGGUUGUGAUGUGGACAAGUAGUUUUGUUUUUACACUCAAAGACUCCAUGCC